rnacentral:rRNA from 1 species
AACGAACGCUGGCGGCAUGCCUAACACAUGCAAGUCGAACGAGACCUUCGGGUCUAGUGGCGCACGGGUGCGUAACGCGUGGGAACCUGCCCUUAGGUUCGGAAUAACUCCCCGAAAGGGGUGCUAAUACCGGAUAAUGUCUUCGGACCAAAGAUUUAUCGCCUUUGGAUGGGCCCGCGUUGGAUUAGCUAGUUGGUAGGGUAAAAGCCUACCAAGGCGACGAUCCAUAGCUGGUCUGAGAGGAUGAUCAGCCACACUGGGACUGAGACACGGCCCAGACUCCUACGGGAGGCAGCAGUGGGGAAUAUUGGACAAUGGGCGAAAACCUGAUCCAGCAAUGCCGCGUGAGUGAUGAAGGCCUUAGGGUUGUAAAGCUCUUUUACCCGGGAUGAUAAUGACAGUACCGGGAGAAUAAGCGCCGGCUAACUCCGUG